rnacentral:rRNA from 1 species
GAUGAACGCUGGCGGCGUGCCUAAUACAUGCAAGUCGAGCGAACGGACGAGAAGCUUGCUUCUCUGAUGUUAGCGGCGGACGGGUGAGUAACACGUGGAUAACCUACCUAUAAGACUGGGAUAACUUCGGGAAACCGGAGCUAAUACCGGAUGAUAUUUUGAACCGCAUGGUUCAAAAGUGAAAGACGGUCUUGCUGUCACUUAUAGAUGGAUCCGCGCUGCAUUAGCUAGUUGGUAAGGUAACGGCUUACCAAGGCAACGAUGCAUAGCCGACCUGAGAGGGUGAUCGGCCACACUGGAACUGAGACACGGUCCAGACUCCUACGGGAGGCAGCAGUAGGGAAUCUUCCGCAAUGGGCGAAAGCCUGACGGAGCAACGCCGCGUGAGUGAUGAAGGUCUUCGGAUCGUAAAACUCUGUUAUUAGGGAAGAACAUAUGUGUAAGUAACUGUGCACAUCUUGACGGUACCUAAUCAGAAAGCCACGGCUAACUACGUGCCAGCAGCCGCGGUAAUACGUAGGUGGCAAGCGUUAUCCGGAAUUAUUGGGCGUAAAGCGCGCGUAGGCGGUUUUUUAAGUCUGAUGUGAAAGCCCACGGCUCAACCGUGGAGGGUCAUUGGAAACUGGAAAACUUGAGUGCAGAAGAGGAAAGUGGAAUUCCAUGUGUAGCGGUGAAAUGCGCAGAGAUAUGGAGGAACACCAGUGGCGAAGGCGACUUUCUGGUCUGUAACUGACGCUGAUGUGCGAAAGCGUGGGGAUCAAACAGGAUUAGAUACCCUGGUAGUCCACGCCGUAAACGAUGAGUGCUAAGUGUUAGGGGGUUUCCGCCCCUUAGUGCUGCAGCUAACGCAUUAAGCACUCCGCCUGGGGAGUACGACCGCAAGGUUGAAACUCAAAGGAAUUGACGGGGACCCGCACAAGCGGUGGAGCAUGUGGUUUAAUUCGAAGCAACGCGAAGAACCUUACCAAAUCUUGACAUCCUUUGACAACUCUAGAGAUAGAGCCUUCCCCUUCGGGGGGGACAAAGUGACAGGUGGUGCAUGGUUGUCGUCAGCUCGUGUCGUGAGAUGUUGGGUUAAGUCCCGCAACGAGCUCAACCCUUAAGCUUAGUUGCCAUCAUUAAGUUGGGCACUCUAAGUUGACUGCCGGUGACAAACCGGAGGAAGGUGGGGAUGACGUCAAAUCAUCAUGCCCCUUAUGAUUUGGGCUACACACGUGCUACAAUGGACAAUACAAAGGGCAGCGAAACCGCGAGGUCAAGCAAAUCCCAUAAAGUUGUUCUCAGUUCGGAUUGUAGUCUGCAACUCGACUACAUGAAGCUGGAAUCGCUAGUAAUCGUAGAUCAGCAUGCUACGGUGAAUACGUUCCCGGGUCU